UGAAGGGCCGCGGUAUUUUGACCGUGCAAAGGUAGCAUAAUCAUUAGUUCUUUAAUUGUGAUCUGGAAUGAAUGGCUUGACGAGACACGAGCUGUCUUAAGUUGUGAAUGUUUUAUUGAAUUUGGUUUUUGAGUUAAAAUUCUUAGAUGUUUUUAUGGGACGAGAAGACCCUAUAGAGUUUAACAUUUGGUCUAUUUUCCUUAUUGUUUGUUUUGUUUAAUUGAGUGGGCUUAUAUGUUUUGUUGGGGCGAUGAGAGGGAUAUAGUUUAACCCCUCUUUAUUUUGGUUAUAUUAAUUUAUAGUUGCUUGAUCCAUUGAUUUUGAUUAUAAAAUUAAAUUACCU
rnacentral:rRNA from 1 species